UACGGAGGGUGCGAGCGUUGUCCGGACUCACUGGGCGUAAAGGGUGCGUAGGCGGUUGCAUGCGUCGGCGCUGAAAUCCCUGGGCUUAACCCAGGGGCGCGUGCCGAUACGAUGCGACUUGAGGCUCGGAGAGGGUGGUAGAACUCCUGGUGUAGUGGUGAAAUGCGUAGAGAUCAGGAAGAACACCAAUGGCGAAGGCAGCUCUCUGGGACGGUACUGACGCUGAGACGCGAAAGCGUGGGGAGCGAACAGG
rnacentral:rRNA from 1 species